CAGAGAUCAAAAAUGUCAAAAGCGCAGAGCGUGCUUGUAGAUGUGGUGAUAAUAUCUGUAGGUGAAGACAGGUAGAAAUUGCAUGUUCCACUUUGCUAGUUGAAGAGCUACAUUUCAACUUGCAUUUCAGAUGGAUGUUUUAAAAACACCAGCCAGCGCUGGGGCUGAGAGAAACAGCACUGCAGCUCAGUCCGGCCCAGACAGGAUGUAGAAGACCUGCAUUGCUGGUGGCCUGUGUGAUCUGAGGAACAAACAUGGUGUGGGUGACACAAAGACAUAAGAAACAGUCCUGCAGCAUGGCUCCUGUUCCUCGGUCUGGAGACUACCCAAGGAAGUCACAGGAGUCAAUAGAGGCAGCUGUGCAGUGCACAAAGAGCAGCACCACUGCGGAAGGAGGGAUUCAGUCCAGGCAAGGAAGAGUGUUCAAAGUAAAGAGAUUCUCCAGAUGGUUGUGCUCGCUUGCUUGACAAGUGGGGCUGAGCAAAGCUUAAUAGGUACCAACACCAAGGAGGAAUUUUGUUUCCCAAAAUGCCAAUUCCAAGGAAAGAGAAAAAUAAAUAACACUGAGUAAGUUUGAUAGUUUCUCA
rnacentral:lncRNA from 1 species